rnacentral:rRNA from 1 species
UUCCCCUAGUAACUGCGAGUGAAGCGGGAAAAGCUCAAAUUUAAAAUCUGGUAGUUUCACUGCCCGAGUUGUAAUCUAGAGAAGCGUUAUCCGCGCUGGACCGUGUAUAAGUCUCCUGGAAUGGAGCGUCAUAGAGGGUGAGAAUCCCGUCUUUGACACGGACUACCAGGGCUUUGUGAUGCGCUCUCAAAGAGUCGAGUUGUUUGGGAAUGCAGCUCUAAAUGGGUGGUAAAUUCCAUCUAAAGCUAAAUAUUGGCGAGAGACCGAUAGCGAACAAGUACCGUGAGGGAAAGAUGAAAAGAACUUUGGAAAGAGAGUUAAACAGUACGUGAAAUUGUUGAAAGGGAAACGCUUGAAGUCAGUCGCGUCGGCUAGGAAUCAGCCUUGCUUUUGCUUGGUGUACUUUCUGGUUGACGGGUCAGCAUCAGUUUUGAUCGGUGGAAAAAGGUCAGCGGAAUGUGGCACCUUCGGGUGUGUUAUAGCUGCUGGUUGUAUACAUCGGUUGGGACUGAGGAACUAGCACUCUGUGUUUUAGAUGCUGGCAUAAUGGCUUUAAUCGACCCGUCUUGAAACACGGACCAAGGAGUCUAACAUGCCUGCGAGUGUUUGGGUGGAAAACCCGAGCGCGUAAUGAAAGUGAAAGUUGAGAUCCCUGUCGUGGGGAGCAUCGACGCCCGGACCAGACCUUUUGUGACGGAUCCGCGGUAGAGCAUGUAUGUUGGGACCCGAAAGAUGGUGAACUAUGCCUGAAUAGGGUGAAGCCAGAGGAAACUCUGGUGGAGGCUCGUACGAUUCUGACGUGCAAAUCGAUCGUCAAAUUUG